UCCAAGUGAGGAUUUAGUGAGGCUGAGUUAAAUGCUCAUUCGAACUAAGUUUUUAUGAGGAGGGGUAAGGCAUAACAAGGUAUCCGUAGGGGAACCUGCGGAUAGAUCACCUCAU
rnacentral:rRNA from 1 species